CUUGCCUCGUCAGGUGCUUACUGCAUUUUUUCUUACACAUGUGUUUUUCUUUUUUUGAAAACUUUGCUUUGGUAGGCCUUCUAUAUGGGGCCUGCCAGAGAUUAAACUCAACCAAAUUUUAUUUAAUGUCAACCGAUUAUUUAAUAGUCAAAACUUUCAACAACGGAUCUCUUGGUUCUCGCAUCGAUGAAGAACGCAGCGAAAUGCGAUAAGUAAUAUGAAUUGCAGAUAUUCGUGAAUCAUCGAAUCUUUGAACGCACAUUGCGCCCUUUGGUAUUCCAAAGGGCAUGCCUGUUUGAGCGUCAUUUCUCCCUCAAACCCUCGGGUUUGGUGUUGAGCGAUACGCUGGGUUUGCUUGAAAGAAAGGCGGAGUAUAAACUAAUGGAUAGGUUUUUUCCACUCAUUGGUACAAACUCCAAAACUUCUUCCAAAUUCGACCUCAAAUCAGGUAGGACUACCCGCUGAACUUAAGCAUAUCAAUAAGCGGAGGAAAAGA
rnacentral:rRNA from 1 species